AGUUUGUUAAUCUCUUCUUUUAUGUGAUAAUGCAAAAAAAAAAAAAAUCUAGUCAUUGUUUUAAAAUGUUUUUUUUUACAAGUUUAAAAUAUAUCUGAAUCAAACAGUUUCAGGUUUUCGUUUAUGAAAAUUAUGCUUCUUUUUGGUUCUUUUGACAAUUAAGGUUUUACUUAAUUGUUUGACAAUGUAAUUCGAUGUUGAUUUUUUCUGUUUUUAUUACAAUUGUUUUGUUUAUUAUGAUCAAAACAAUUUAAGCGUUUGUUUGAAUCUCACAUAUAUAUACAAAAUACUUUUAUGGUAUGAGAAAUUGUAAUUUUUUAUAUAUAUCUAACGUGCCGUUUUUAUAUGUCGGUAAUAGCUAUAUACAAGUUGGUGCAUUUCUUAAAAAAAAUAACUGACUAAAGAUUUAGUUAAUCUUAAUAACUUUGUCUUAAAGUUGUUAAAACAAUCAAAUGAAAAGAUCGAAUAUUUUAAUAGCAAGAAAAAUUAUGAUUUUAAUUAGUUAACAGUCAGUACUUGAAAAAAUAUCAUAUAGUCAUUGUUUCCCUACUUUAGUUGUGUUUUAAUUUGCUGAUGAAUUCAAAAUGUAAAUGUAAUAUGCCCUGUAUUUCGUGUAUGCCUGGAACAUUAAAUGGUUGAAUAGGAUCUCAUAGUCGUUUUGGUGCAGACCUACGUUACAUCAUUAUAACAUCUUUUAAAGAUGAAAUUACAUUAUCACUAGGUGAUAGAUCGUAUUUAUAAGCAUCAUGCUUAAUUUUAUGAUUUGUUGUUAUUUGUUGGAGAGAGAGAGAAAGAGAACAAAGAGAUAGUAUUUCAAAAUAAUCUUUUGUUUGCUUAUAAAAUGAAAAGAAAUAAACA
rnacentral:sRNA from 1 species